AAUAGGACUGCGGUUCUAUUUUGUUGGUUUCUAGGACCGAAGUAAUGAUUAAUAGGGAUAGUUGGGGCCGUUUGUAUUCCGUUGUCAGAGGUGAAAUUCUUGGAUUUAUGGAAGACGAACUACUGCGAAAGCAUUUACCAAGGAUGUUUUCAUUAAUCAAGAACGAAAGUUGGGGGCUCGAAGACGAUCAGAUACCGUCCUAGUCUCAACCAUAAACGAUGCCGACCAGGGAUCGGCGGAUGUUG
rnacentral:rRNA from 1 species